rnacentral:pre_miRNA from 1 species
AGAGGAAUAGCUGGGUCAAAUGGUUGGUUCCAUAUCCAGUUUUCCAAGGAAUCUCCAUACUGCUUUCCAAAUUGGCUGCACCAAUUUGCAGUCCCACCAGCAAU